rnacentral:rRNA from 1 species
UACGGGGGGAGCAAGCGUUGUUCGGAUUUACUGGGCGUAAAGGGCGCGUAGGCGGCCACCGCAAGUCGACUGUGAAAUCUCCGGGCUUAACUCGGAAAGGUCAGCCGAUACUGCGGGGCUAGAGUGCAGAAGGGGCAACUGGAAUUCUCGGUGUAGCGGUGAAAUGCGUAGAUAUUGAGAGGAACACCGGUGGCGAAGGCGGGUCUCUGGGCCGUAACUGACGCUGAGGAGCGAAAGCGUGGGGAGCGAACAGG